rnacentral:rRNA from 1 species
AAUAGAUACCCAGGUAGUCCACGCCGUAAACGAUGAGUGCUAAGUGUUAGAGGGUUUCCGCCCUUUAGUGCUGCAGCUAACGCAUUAAGCACUCCGCCUGGGGAGUACGGCCGCAAGGCUGAAACUCAAAGGAAUUGACGGGGGCCCGCACAAGCGGUGGAGCAUGUGGUUUAAUUCGAAGCAACGCGAAGAACCUUACCAGGUCUUGACAUCCUCUGCCAACCCUAGAGAUAGGGCGUUCCCCUUCGGGGGACAGAGUGACAGGUGGUGCAUGGUUGUCGUCAGCUCGUGUCGUGAGAUGUUGGGUUAAGUCCCGCAACGAGCGCAACCCUUGAUCUUAGUUGCCAGCAUUCAGUUGGGCACUCUAAGGUGACUGCCGGUGACAAACCGGAGGAAGGUGGGGAUGACGUCGAAUCAUCAUGCCCCUUAUGACCUGGGCUACACACGUGCUACAAUGGAUGGUACAAAGAGCUGCGAACCCGCGAGGGUAAGCGAAUCUCAUAAAGCCAUUCUCAGUUCGGAUUGUAGG